UACGUAGGGUGCGAGCGUUUAAUCGGAAUUACUGGGCGUAAAGCGUGCGCAGGCGGUUAUGCAAGACAGAUGUGAAAUCCCCGGGCUUAACCCUGGGAACUGCAUUUGUGACUGCAUGGCUGGAGUGCGGCAGAGGGGGAUGGAAUUCCGCGUGUAGCAGUGAAAUGCGUAGAUAUGCGGAGGAACACCGAUGGCGAAGGCAAUCCCCUGGGCCUGCACUGACGCUCAUGCACGAAAGCGUGGGGAGCGAACAGG
rnacentral:rRNA from 1 species